GAUGAAGAACGUAUCAAAAUGCGAUAAGUAAUGUGAAUUGCAGAAUUCAGUGAAUCAUCGAAUCUUUGAACGCACAUUGCGCCCGCUGGUAUUCCGGCGGGCAUGCCUGUUCGAGCGUCAUUUCAACCCUCAAGCCCCCGGGUUUGGUGUUGGGGAUCGGCUCUGCCUUCUGGCGGUGCCGCCCCCGAAAUACAUUGGCGGUCUCGCUGCAGCCUCCAUUGCGUAGUAGCUAACACCUCGCAACUGGAACGCGGCGCGGCCAUGCCGUAAAACCCCAACUUCUGAAUGUUGACCUCGGAUCAGGUAGGAAUACCCGCUGAACUUAAGCAUAUCAAUAAGCGGAGGA
rnacentral:misc_RNA from 1 species